rnacentral:pre_miRNA from 1 species
CUGAAGUGGAAGAGCAUCUUUCUAUCUUCUCUUCCAAUCUAUUGAUCUGCUCUUCCAAUACUAUCAGAUCAAUAGAUUGGAAGAGCAGAUCGAAAAAUGCUCUCACCUUAAG